rnacentral:rRNA from 1 species
UACAGAGGUCUCAAGCGUUUGUUCGGAUUCAUUGGGCGUAAAGGGUGCGUAGGCGGCGCGGUAAGUCGGGUGUGAAAUCUUGGAGCUUAACUCCGAAACUGCAUUCGAUACUGCCGUGCUUGAGGACUGGAGAGGAGACUGGAAUUUACGGUGUAGCGGUGAAAUGCGUAGAUAUCGUAAGGAAGACCAGUGACGAAGGCGGGUCUCUGGACAGUUCCUGACGCUGAGGCACGAAGGCCCAGGGGGAGCAAAACGGGG